UAACUCCGACGCCUCCCGGGGCGCCCUUUGGGGACGAUGCUCGCUGCAGCGGUCGGGACGUCGGGGCUGGGAGGAUCGUUGAUUUUCAGCUGCGUUACCCAGAAACCCACGCGCGCUCGUCGCGCCUCGGGAGGGCGCGCGGCAUCGCCGGUCACCCGAGUGCCUCGGACGUGAUUUAAAGCCUCGCAACAGCCCCGUGAGGUAGAUGUUAUCCUUGAAGCAGGCGCGCGAGGAGGAAGGAAUGCGCUKAAGACGAGCGGGACGUCCGGCAGCYGCUGCCCGAAACCCGAGCGGGAUGUCCGGCACCUCGGCAUCGUCGCUGGCCGUGGGACCGCGCCGCAGCGGAGCAGGGCAGAGGGAAACGUCUCCUCUGGCAGCAAGGAAAAAACAUCAAGACGCACAUGAACUAAUCCUCACGCACAGCAAGUACAAGAAGAGAAAGCACGGACAUAAAAGCGUCUCCUGUCGAGCCCUAGCUGUGUGGCAAAGGAAAUCCUGUACCAGUCUCUUAAAUUUUCUUUAACCUUCCAUAGUGCAAAUGGUACCUUAGCACAAAGCAGUCUCUCGUUACAGAAGUUUUUACAGUGAACAUUCAGCGUUCCCGAGUCAGAUGCUUCGCUUCGCUCCUGCCGUUCGGGAAGAAUCGCAUCUCCUCUCACCAUCAGCUCCGGCCUUCGCGCCACUCCUCGGCUCCGGCACGGUGACGUUCGGGCCUUGGCGGGAAGGACGGGCUCCAGGCGGGGACGGGCUGCGCGGCCGGGGCGCCGGCGCCGCUGGGAAACGCUCCGCGGCUCCUCCCGAGGUUCCUCCUGGGAGCCGCGGCAGGAGCUGGCGAAGCGAACCCAGCCGUUGGGGGACGCGGACGUUGCCAGAGCGCCGGCCGCGCUGGCGCCCAGCGGAGGUGCCGGGAAGCUGCCGGGAGUCCCAGGGCUCGGCGAGGCCAGUGCCRGGAAGCCGUCCUGGGUUGGAAAGAGCCGGCGGCGCGCGCGUUCCCCGGGAAGGGCCACGUGACUCCAAGUAUGUGGCCCGGGGCCAUAUCUCAGGUCAGCGAAGAACGACGCCGUCUGCAAACUGGACCGGGCUCAAGCAUGUAACGAUGGUCGCGGAGGAAGGGAGGGAGGGAGGGAUCGAUCCCAGCCGGAGCUCGGCUUCGCUCCACCUGGAAUGGUGCUGCCUCACCCGGGGGCUUUGCGCCCGUUCCCGGCCGCUUCGGAGCGCCCUUUUCCCGGCACGUGGAUCCGCUCCCUGGUGCUUCCGGCCGCUGUGGCUGGUGUCUCGGCGGUGCCCGGGAGGGGGGAACUGGCCCGGCUGCUGGAGGGGGCAGGACGGUGCUUUCGCCUCGCUUGGCCGUGGCCGCGUGCGGCGGGAUGCGGGGAGCCGGCGCAGCCCGGCCCUUUGCAGCAAUGGAGGGGGGAGGCGAUGGCGGCUGCGGCCGGGCGYGAUCGGAAACCGCUGGGGAGAAACGAACCCGGGGAGCCGCACGAUAAACCUGCGAGCGGCUUCCCCGCUGCGGCUGGUACCGGAAUGGCCCCUUCCUCAUCUCCAAGGCGGAAAGCCCCGGCGGCGCGGGCGGGCAGGGAGAUCCCCCCUCUGCGACACGGGAUGCUGCCCCCUCCUCGGGCGCUCCGCGGAGAGRGACCGGCACGGCCGGAGGGAGCAGCUCCCCAAAAGGCACUAAACAGCAGGGAGAGGGGAUGCGUYGCCCUCCCGGUCCGGCUGCCGGCGGUUGGGGGGGAUGUUUCCCCUGGGGGAGGCCGGGCAGGGGAGGGAGGCUUGCGUCGGCGUCUCGCGCAAUAUCCGACGGCCGCUCGGACGCGGCCGUCGCCGGAGCCAGCAACGAGCCGUCUAAGUGCCGGUGCGGGGCGUCGGGGGGCUCCGGCCCCUGCCAGCCCCGAGGCCGCCAGCCUUCCUCCCCGCGGGGCCGGGAGCCGCGGCGCGGCGGCGCCUGCUGCUGCUCGAGGCGGCCCGCCUGCGGCUCGGUGCUUUGCGGCCCGUGCGGUGCCUGGCGCCCCGGCCCGGCCGCGGAGGCUCCCGACGAGACCCCCGACCUGCCCCAUGGGCGUCUUCCUCCUCCGGGGGCAUCAGCGUGGAAACGGGAUCUCCACUCCCCSGCAAAGCGCCCAGCCGUCGUUUUCGACCCUGCCCCGCACCCAGCGGCGCGAGGAAGAGCCGUUCCCGUUCCCGACUCCUGCCAAGAGCUCAAGCUGCAGGAUUUAUUUGGCUUGCGCGCGCAGAAACCCCCCCGCGCCGCAGCAGCGGGAGGUUAAAGGGCAGCGAUGGYCGGAGCCGGAGCAGAUGGACUAAACGAGGUGCCUCGAGGUGGCAACGGCRGCGGCGCUUCCUGAUCCCCGCGCCGCUUCCUUCCCUUUCCCUCGGCGCGCGGCUCCCUUCCGUCCCCUCUGUCGGCGCUGGCUCCACCACGGGGCUCCCGUUGCUCCCUUUCGGGCCCGGCCGCUUACGCCUCUCUGCACGGUGCGCCGGGAACCCGAAGCACCCAGCGCCCUAAGUGCUUCGGCGCUCGGCUCCGCGGGGCCGCCGCCGCCUCCCCGCUCUCCGGAGCGGCCUCGUCUUCGUAAGCGCUUUGAGCCGGGGACAAGUGCUAAAUAUCCCGGCCCCACGGUGCUUCCCCGGAGCCGGUGGCUCCGUCGGCGCUGCGCUGCAUCUCGCCCGGAGCGGUCCCUAAGUGCUACGCGGGAGUACGGACGUGCCGAGGGACGGCGGGUGCUGCCGGCCGGGGGGAGAGGAAGAGCUGCAGGAGCAUCCCGGAGCCGGAGCCGCCUAACGCCCGGCCCCUUCGGAUAAGUGCUAGGGCCGGGCCGCGGGGCUCUUCCGUGCAGGAGGCGGUUUCCUUCCCAGCGCGGCGGGCAGGGAGGUGCCGGGGCCGCGGCGUGCCGUGCUGUGCCGGCAGCCUGGCGCCGGGGCCGGCCGCCCCGCGACGGCUCCCAGAUGGGAGCAGCGCCGUCGCCGCUUGCAUCACUCGGGUGGCGGCGGCGUGAGCGGAGGGGAGACGCCGGAGCAGCGGGGACGGAUGAACUCUUGAGAAACCGGGAUCCUGUUCUCAUGCGAAAAUAAUCCAAACAUCGAGGGCAGAGGGGGAGGCAAAUGUGCCGCAUAAGCAGAAUUUCUCCCCAGCCAGCGCCUCCGUCCAGUUCUGGCCCGUGCCUCCUCCAGAUAACCCCGCUCCGUCGCCCGUCCUCCCUCCGGCAGCGAAGACGGGGCCCCGGCUCGGAGGAGCCCCACGGAGCUGCCCGGCUCCCGCGGCCGCUUUGCGGGAGCRCCGGGGCCAACGCGUGCGGUGUCCUGCAGGCAGCCGGCGGCGCCGGGGCUGAAGCGCGGAGGCGGCUCGCGUGGGAGUCGAUGCCAUCGAGCCGUCCCCGUCCUGGGGCCCGGGGGCUGCCGGCGGCGGAUGCCACCAGCCGGUCCCCGAGGGCACGGCGGGACCGGGGCGCCGAGGGAGGGGAGAGGCCAGCGCCCGCCCCAGCGGGGUUGCCAGCGGCAGAGCGCUAGCCGGAAGGGUUAAUUAAUAAAUAAAUAAAUUAAACAAGGGAGACGGGUCCC
rnacentral:lncRNA from 1 species